rnacentral:rRNA from 1 species
AUUGAACGCUGGCGGCAUGCUUUACACAUGCAAGUCGAACGGCAGCACGGGAGCAAUCCUGGUGGCGAGUGGCGAACGGGUGAGUAAUAUAUCGGAACAUGUGCGGAAGUGGGGGAUAACGUAGCGAAAGUUACGCUAAUACCGCAUAUGCCCUGAGGGGGAAAGGAGGGGAUCGUAAGACCUUUCGCUUUCGGAGUGGCCGAUAUCAGAUUAGCUAGUUGGUGAGGUAAAGGCUCACCAAGGCGACGAUCUGUAGCGGGUCUGAGAGGAUGAUCCGCCACACUGGGACUGAGACACGGCCCAGACUCCUACGGGAGGCAGCAGUGGGGAAUUUUGCGCAAUGGGGGAAACCCUGACGCAGCAAUGCCGCGUGGAGGACGAAGGUCUUCGGAUUGUAAACUCCUUUUGCCGGUGAAAAAUAGCUGUGUGAAUAACACAGACUGAUGGUAGCCGGCGAAUAAGCCACGGCUAACUUCGUGCCAGCAGCCGCCGUAAGAC